rnacentral:rRNA from 1 species
CCACGCUGCCAAGAAAAGCGUCUAGAGAGAGAAGUAGUGCCCGUACCGCAAACCGACACAGGUAGGUGAGGAGAGAAUCCUAAGGCCGGCGGAAGAAUUACAGUUAAGGAACUCGGCAAAUUGACCCCGUAAGUUCGCGAGAAGGGGUGCCUACGAGAGUAGGCCGCAGAGAAUAGGCCCAAGCAACUGUUUAGCAAAAACACAGGUCUCUGCUAAAGCGUAAGCUGAUGUAUAGGGGCUGACGCCUGCCCGGUGCUGGAAGGUUAAGGGGAACACUUAGCGCAAGCGAAGGUGUGAACUUAAGCCCCAGUAAACGGCGGCCGUAACUAUAACGGUCCUAAGGUAGCGAAAUUCCUUGUCAGGUAAGUUCUGACCCGCACGAAUGGCGUAAUGACUUGGGCACUGUCUCAACUGUAAAUCCGGCGAAGUUGUAGUGCGAGUGAAGAUGCUCGCUACCCGCGAUUGGACGGAAAGACCCCGUAGAGCUUUACUGUAGCUUAGCAUUGAGUUUUGGUAUUGUCUGUACAGGAUAGGUGGGAGACUAGGAAACCAGGG